GACGAACGCUGGCGGCGUGCUUAACACAUGCAAGUCGAACGGAAAGGCCCUGCUUUUGUGGGGUGCUCGAGUGGCGAACGGGUGAGUAACACGUGAGUAACCUGCCCUUGACUUUGGGAUAACUUCAGGAAACUGGGGCUAAUACCGGAUAGGAGCUCCUGCUGCAUGGUGGGGGUUGGAAAGUUUCGGCGGUUGGGGAUGGACUCGCGGCUUAUCAGCUUGUUGGUGGGGUAGUGGCUUACCAAGGCUUUGACGGGUAGCCGGCCUGAGAGGGUGACCGGCCACAUUGGGACUGAGAUACGGCCCAGACUCCUACGGGAGGCAGCAGUGGGGAAUAUUACACAAUGGGCGGAAGCCUGAUGCAGCAACGCCGCGUGCGGGAUGACGGCCUUCGGGUGGUAAACCGCUUUCGCCUGUGACGAAGCGUGAGUGACGGUAAUGGGUAAAGAAGCACCGGCUAACUACGUG
rnacentral:rRNA from 1 species